rnacentral:lncRNA from 1 species
AAAACAUGCGCAGAUCUCCAUCAAACGGCGCCGUUUUGUGUUUAGUAUAAAUAAUAAGGAAAACCAAAAAAAUCAAAUCAGUUUCAUCUUUAAAAAAAAACAGAGAGAGAGAGCUCUCUCCUCUCUCAUCUUCCUCCCCAGAAUCCGGCCGCCUCCGGUCAUGGAGCCGUCGCGCCGGCCACCGUACACGGUGGCCGGAAAAUUCAAAAGGUAUGUUUUUUUCUUUUUUUUUUAUAUGUUAUGUAUAUAGUUUAAAAGAUAAAAGAAACAAAAUCAAACACAAAUAAUUCGAAAGGAAAAAAAUAAAGAGAAAAAAAAACUAAAAGAAAAUAAAUAUACCGAAAAUGGGGUUGUUGAAUUUGUUUUUUAUUUCUUAUUUCUUGAAAAUUUUUUUGCAAAAGGGGGGGGGGGCUUUAUUACAGAGAGGAUACUUGGCUUUAUAGCCAAUUUUACAUGGUAUUUUAGUCUUCUUUUUUCUUUUUCUCUGUUUGCCACUGUGCUUUGCGUGAUUUUCUUCUUUGCAGGCAAGUGGGGUGAUGGGCGAGCGGCAGAGCAGGUGGAGCAGGUGAGCAGGUGAGCAGCGAUGGGACGUGCGGCGGCCAGCAAGUGAACGGCGGAGUUGGUGGGUCUGCUGGUAUGGGCCUGCAACAGCUGCCCCUCUUUGCUCGUUGUCGUGUAACGAUAACAGAGCAAAGACUAAGAAAGGCCCAUUUUGCCCGGUCUUGCCGAGUCUUGACUUGUUCUGGUACUUCUCCAUUUCAAGUAGUUUCAUUCCAGUCCACUAGGUCUUGUUGCUUCGAUCCAUUCCACUGCAUUUUAGAGAGAUGCGUCCUGUAGCCUUUAUCUUCUUCGUAGCAACUUCAGGGGGACGAGGUUUGUGGUUUUCAAUCUAUUCCACUGCAUCUUCAGGGAAAUAAGACUUGAUGCGACCUACUCUGCUGUAACCUCAGAGAGAUAAGAUCCUUUAUUUUAACCCACUCCACUGUAACUUCAGGGAGAUAGGAUAGUGUCUUCGAUCUGCUCCGCUGUAAUCUCGGGGAGAUAAGAUCUCUGGCUUCAAUCUGCUCCACUGUAACUUCAGGGGGAUAAGAUCUGCAAUUCUUCGGUCUACUACACUGUAACCUCAGAGAGAUAAGACCUGAUGCGAUCUACUCUACUGUAACUUCAGAGAGAUAAGAUCCUUUAUUUUAACCCACUCCACUGUAACUUCAGGGGGAUAAGAUCUGCAAUUCUUCGGUCUACUCCACUGUAACCUCAGAGAGAUAAGACCUGAUGCGAUCUACUCUACUGUAACUUCAGAGAGAUAAGAUCCUUUAUUUUAAUCCGCUCCACUGUAACUUCAGGGAGAUAGGAUUACUAUCUUUGAUCUGCUCCGCUGUAAUCUCAGGGAGAUAAGAUCUGAUGUGAUCUUCUCUACUGUAACUUCAGAGAGAUAAGAUUUGAAAUCUUCAAUCUAUUCCAUUGUUAACCAGGGAGAUAGAAUUAUCGGCUUCAAUGUACUCCACUGUAGUCACAGUGAGGUAAAAUCUCUGGCUUUAGUUUGCCCCACUGUGACUUCAGGGGGACAAGAUCUGUAAUUUCCAACCUAUUCCACUACAGGUCAGGGAUAUAGGACUUGUGGUUUGAAUCCGCUUCCUUACACUUGAAUAUAAGAUUUGCUGUCUUUGAUCUGCUCCGCUACGGCUUAGGAAGACAAAAUCUGUAACCUUUAACCAGCUCCAAUGCAACCGAUGGAGGCAAGGCUUUGUUUUUGAUCUGCUUUGCUGUUAAUGCAGGAAGGCAAGAUCUGCUUCUUUAACUAGCUCCAUCACAACCGAAAGAGGCAAGGUUUGUGUCUUCAAUCUGCUUCGCUGUCAAUGCAGAAAGGCAAGAUCUUUUGUCUUCAACCAGCUCUAUCACAACCGAAAGAGGCAAGGUUUGUGUCUUCAAUCUGCUUCGCUGUCAAUGCAGAAAGGCAAGAUCUUUUGUCUUCAACCAGCUCUAUCACAACCGAAAGAGGCAAGGUUUGUGUCUUCGAUCUGCUUCGCUGUCAAUGCAGAAAGGCAAGAUCUUUUGUCUUCAACCAGCUCCAUCACAACCGAAAGAGGCAAGGUUUGUGUCUUCAAUCUGCUUCGCUGUCAAUGCAGAAAGGCAAGAUUUUUAACUUCAUUGAUCUGUCCCUUGGGGAACAUGACCUGUAUGUUCUAUUUUAUGAACCUAAUUGUGCCUAGUGAUUAGGAUGACAUAAUCAGAAUGAAUCAAAUGCUCCUAACUAGAUAUGUAUGAAUGACAUGCAAAACGUCAUGAAGAUGAUUCCUUAAUGCUUAGGUUAACAUCACGUAAAAACUUAUUAAGGUUUUAUCACUGACGUACUACAACGCCUUUUGCUCGUUUGGUAUAUCCAAAGAAACACUUAAUCUGGUUGCCCCCCACUGUAAACCUUAACGUUUAAUCUAUUAGGGCACAAAAUUUGUACCAUCAUUCUCCCACUACAAUCCAAGGGUAGAAAUAUGGUUUUUUCAAUCUUCUCCUAUCGCAAUUCAAGGAUACAGAAUCUUAAUCUUUCUGGUCCCCCUUACACCAUUUCCAGGGUGUCGUUUCAAAGACUCAUGCACAAAUGAAGGCUCUCUUCUCCGAGGUAACCUCUUCCUAUUGCCUAGUGAUCAUUGCUUGUUUGUUUAUUUAAGCUUUUUCAUUGACACGACAUCUUGUCAUUUUGUUCAAUCAAUGCAUUUGUCAACAAAAUCCAAAGAGAAAGUCCAAACUUAUACUCUUCCUUCUCAAAUUUCCAACCUUCAAAUUUGGCAUGUUCUAAACAAUAGUCCUGUUUCAGGUUCCUGUAUUAUUUAGAAACUUUUCAGAGUAAUAUGCAAAACUUCCUUUGUGAAAGUUUUAUUAGUCCAUUAGUCAUUAUUCCAAUGCUUGCAAAAAAAAAGGUCAUAACAAUGGAUAAGAAUAAAGUUGGUUCUGAGCAUAGCUCGAAAGAACAAAUUAUCGAAAAUAGUGAAGAAGGACAACAAAAGAAUUAAUUGGGAAUGUAUAUCUUGGAAAGAAAGAAAAAGUAUUCCAAGAACAACAAAUAACACGAGAAUUGGGUGCCCCAGAUAUCAUAGCUUGAACUUCUCUAUACAAACUUUCUGAAGACCCUUUUGAGUUGGACAUGUGUUUAGGAGAUCUACAAUGCUCUGUCAAUGCCCCCAAGAUGUCGCCUAUCCUUUCCUGUUGAUUCAGGUAUGGCAAGAUCAACACAUGCCUCAAUAUGAACAAAACUUGAGCAGCUUAUAUCACCUCAUGCCCCAUUUUGAUCAGUAUUUGAGCCGCCCUUUUCGGGUUUUCAGCUCAGAUCCCCUUUGGCCUAAGGCGCCCUUUGCGGGUUUUCCCCUUAGCCUCUCCAUUUUUACUUUUUCAUUUUUCAUUUUUUCAUCUUCUUCUCCCUUUUUUUUUUUUUUUUUUUUUUUUUGUAUCAAAGUGCCCUUUUGCAGGUCUUCACCUUGGUCCUUCCUUCUUCUUUAAACGAAGUGUUUCUGGAUCCGAGUUUAUAGGAUUAGCAAUCUCACUCAGGAUCAGUACUCUUCUAGAAAUGGUCUUCUUUACAACAUAGGGACUUUCCUAGUUUGGCAUUCAUUUCCCUUUAGAAUCCUUUCGUUAAGGAAGAAUCUUUUUCAACAUCCAGCCCUCUUGUGGAAUUCUCUGAGACGAGCAUGUUUAUUAUGGGCUCAUAUUAUUUAUUUAUGGUACAUCUGACCCUGAUGAAUAGCUUUUAACCAUUUUCCUAGGGCCAACUAAUCACAUUGCGAUUGGAUCCAAGCAACGAGGGGAUUUUAAUAAGUAGAACUACCUCAAUCCUGUAAACCAAAAAGAGAAGUGCUGCCCCAAUACCGAUGUUCGACAAACAAUGAGGGUAAAUGGUAAUUUCUCACAUCGAUCCUCGUAAGUCUCAGUCAUUUUCCUUCAAUUUUUGAUGUUCAACUCUAGGAACUCCAGUGACGAAUCGUGGUGUCCACUUCUGAGCUAAUUUGAGACUUCAGCUAUCGUGCUAUUGUUUAACCUCAAUGCAUUCUCCAAUACUCUCUUCUCUGAAAUUCUGUAUCGGUAUACGAUGCCUUUAGCUCAUGAAGUAGCCUCUCAAAAUGAAACAAUGCCCAUUAAAAGUCUUCGAUAAUGGUGAUGUUCUUGCCCCAUUGUGCUCAAAAUUUGAGUCGUCCUUUUUCGGGUUUUCAACUCAGAUUCACUUUUGGUCAAAGCGCCCUUUGUGGGUUUUCGCCUUGGCCUCUCCUUUUUCUUUUUCCUAUUUUGACUUUGAUUUUUUGAUUUUUUGAUUUUUUGAAUUCAUGAGAUUAGGCAAGUUCUGGUCAUGCUUUUCGACCAGAAUCAAUGUUAUUCUAAAGUCUUCCACAUAAGAUCUUCCACUUUCAUCUUGUAUGUGAGAAACCUUCUUUGGUACCAGAUUUCUUUCAUCGAGCCCUUUUGGGACGCAACUACGACAGAAAAAUUUAGAUCUCUAUCUUUAAUCAGGAUAAAAUCCAACAACAUCUUGAAGGGAUGGAAACUCAACUUCAAAUGGGUAAAGCUAUGCUGACUCAACGAGAGAGGCAUUGCCCCGGCAAAGAAUUGCAUCGUUCGCACUGUAAAUUUCUGACAUCGUGCUGUUGUGCAGGUUUUAUUAUCAAGCUCACAAUUUCUAAUGAUUCACUGAGAGGUAGGAUCUGUUUAUCCUUUUGUUCUACCAUCCUCAACAAGUUUGGAGAUAAGCUACGCUCUGUGUCAUCUUCAAAGUCGUGAGAUCCCUCUAAACACAUGUCUCGCUCAAAAGGAGAUUCUAAGUCUGUAGCAGUGUCAUUCAUGUCGUUGAUAUCCAGAGACCCAUUGUAGGUACAAAAUAAUAUAUAAAGAAUGUAUGAAUUUAAGAAUAAUUAUCUGCACAGUAUGAUUAUGAAUGAAUGAAAGAAUGAUUUGGAUGGAAGAAUAAAAGAAUAAUCAAUGAAAAAUAUUAGUUCAAAAGAUCGCAAAGAUGCAUUCCAUUACAAUAAUGACGUUCAGACAUAAGCCUUUUUCACGAAAGACUUCUUGUUGCUCUAGGCUGAAAGCAACAAGUGUGUUUUGAAUAUUACUCUGAGUAAGCUCUAAAUACUACAAAGGUUUCUUUAGAACACUCCCAGGUUUAUAAGGGCGAACACCUAAUAAGAUCCCUUUUCAAUUAUGCCUUCAUAUAUGGUAUUGAUGUGAAAACUUCCCAACACUUUCUCAUAUAUUGCGUUCACCCCAUUUGUUAAUCAUGAUUGGGUGGCGAAUUUUCUGCAUUAGAUGAGUCACCAAACUUGACGACACCCAUGUUGAUGAGCUUUUCAACCAGUUUCUUGAAGGCUAUGCAGUUCUCUAUGGAAUGCCC